rnacentral:rRNA from 1 species
AAUGCAAUGGGUAGGAGAGCGUUGUAUAUGGGGUGAAGCAGCAGCGGAAGCGGCUGUGGACUGUAUAGAAGUGAGAAUGCCGGAAUGAGUAGCGCGAUUUAUGUGAGAAUCAUAAAGGCCGAAAACCUAAGGUUUUUGGAGGAAGGUUCGUCCGCUCCAAGUUAGCCGGGAGCUAAGGUGAGGCCGAAAGGCGUAGCCGAUGCACAUACGGUAGAGAUUCCGUAGCUAACGAAAUUUAAGCGUGGGGACACUUUCAAAGGUUGUAUGCCGGUGGAUGGAAAGCCGGUCGAGAGGGAGACGAGUGAGUCGAAGAUACAAUUGGAAGAUGGCGAGAAAAGCCACGAGGGAUAAUAAGUUACCCGUACCGCAAACCGACACAGGUAGGUAGGAAGAGGAUUCUAAGGCCAACGGGAGAAGGGUUGUUAAGGAACUCGGCAAGAUGUCCCCGUAACUUCGGGAGAAGGGGAGCUGCAGAGAUGCAGUCGCAGAGAAGAGGUCCAGGCAACUGUUUAGCAAAAACACAGGUCUGUGCUAAAUCGAAAGAUGACGUAUACGGGCUGACGCCUGCCCGGUGCUGGAAGGUUAAGAGGAAAUUGUGAGAGCAUUGAAUCGAAGCCCCAGUAAACGGCGGCCGUAACUAUAACGGUCCUAAGGUAGCGAAAUUCCUUGUCAGGUAAGUUCUGACCCGCACGAAAGGCGUAAUGAUCUGGACGCUGUCUCGACAGCCCGCCCGGCGAAAUUGUAGUACCGGUGAAGAUGCCGGUUACCCGCGACAAGACGGAAAGACCCCAUGGAGCUUUACUGUAGUCUAAUAUUGGGUUUCGAUAUUGCAUGUACAGGAUAGGUGGGAGACUGGGAAGCAUGAGCGUCAGCUUGUGUGGAGUCGAUGUUGGGAUACUACUCUUGUGAUAUUGGAAUUCUAACCUGCGGCUUUGAAUCAAGUCGGGGGACAUUGUUAGAUGGGCAGUUUGACUGGGGCGGUCGCCUCCUAAAGAGUAACGGAGGCGUUCAAAGGUUCGCUCAGGAUGGACGGAAACCAUCUUAAAGAGUGCAAACGCAGAAGCGAGCCUAACUGCGAGACUGACAGGUCGAACAGAGACGAAAGUCGGAGUUAGUGAUCCGGUGGUAUGUGAG